rnacentral:rRNA from 1 species
GAUUAACGCUAGCGGCAGGCCUAAUACAUGCAAGUCGAGGGGUAACAGGUGUAGCAAUACAUGCUGACGACCGGCGCACGGGUGCGUAACACGUAUGCAACCUACCAAUAACUGGGGAAUAGCCUUCCGAAAGGAAGAUUAACACCGCAUAACAUCAUUCUACGGCAUCGCGGAAUGAUCAAACCCCCGGGGGUUAUUGAUGGGCAUGCGUAACAUGAGCUAGUUGGUGAGGUAACGGCUCACCAAGGCUACGAUGUUUAGGGGGUCUGAGAGGAUGAUCCCCCACACUGGUACUGAGACACGGACCAGACUCCUACGGGAGGCAGCAGUAAGGAAUAUUGGACAAUGGGGGCAACCCUGAUCCAGCCAUGCCGCGUGAAGGAUGACGGCCCUCUGGGUUGUAAACUUCUUUUGUACGGGAAUAAACCCCUCUACGUGUAGAGGGUUGAAUGUACCGUAAGAAUAAGGAUCGGCUAACUUCGUGCCAGCCGCCGCCGUAAGAC